CCCACACCAAAUGUUCUCGGUUCUUCCCCUGCGAUUCUUUGCUACUGAUCAUCCCAUUGUUUGCUCCCUGUUUGGAGACCGUCUCCCUGACCACGCCGAGCUACUCAAAAGUAGGGUCGUGAUUUAUUGUCUGAAGCCCGAGUGCCAGCUCCACACAGGCUUCAAUAUGCUUUGCCUGAAUUCAAUUAUCCAGGUUUACGUGCUACGUGGAGUUUGGCAUCUGAUAAAUCUCCAAGAAAUUCCCUUGGCCUGAGCGGCUCGGGGUCUCAGGCGUGGAUCAUCUUUGUGCUUUGUGUCUCGGCAGAGGCGGGGAGGGCCCCGGUCUCAGCAGCAUUCUUCUGCAGGGAGGAAGGUAAUGACAGGAAGGUGGGGGUGGGGGAUCUGUGACUUGUCCCUCCUCCAUUGGGAGAUGCCGUGAGUCAUUAGCUGACCAUCAAUCUCAUCACAGCUUUAGACGCUGGGGAGGAAAAAAGAAAAAAAAGGAAUCGGCUCGUCCGUUUGGUUUCAGAAAUGUGAAAAUUUGAGGUCAUUGUGCCCCUUUGACUCGAGGAAGGGUUGGGAAUGAAAGAACAGGGACAUGGCAGUCUGAAAAGCUGCCUUUUUGUCUUGGGAGACGCUGACGGGUUUCCUGAAUUGGACACUGGAUUGCAAAAAAAAAAAAAAAGAAAAGAAAAGAAAGAAAGAAAAGAAAUUUCCCCAAGCGUGGGAGGUAAUUACUGGAGAAAGGCGCAUGUCUGAAGCGAGCGAGUUACACCACACGAACGAGAAAAAUCUGGAGUAUUUUCUUAGCUAAUAUCACCCUGGAAAACCAAGGGUGGGAGGAUUGUCGUCCCUGCCGGCUGAUGCCGCUGACAGCAUGCUGUUUGGACAGCAUCCCGGGCGCUGCUGGCAGAGGCCGAAUUUCUGUCGCAGACAAAAACAUGGGGGGAAGGGGCGGAGAUUCCGCCCGAGCCCGGAAAAUGGAAAUGUCUCUUUAAAGGCUAGAGCGUUCACUCUCAUUGUCUUUUCCAAAUUCGGGCCUCCUUAGGGACUUUGUUCAAGGCCUCGGGAUACUUCUCGUGGCUGGUUAGGAUCCAAAUAAAAUGGCCUCCUUCUAAGGGAUCUUUGGUAUUUGCUCCCCGAAUGGGCCUCUGGCCCCUUAAAAAAAAUUCACCUCCCGGGCCAGUCCCAGAUGCUUGACAUUCCUCUUUGGCAAAAGGAAUUCUCCUUUGGAGCCUGCACUUUUAAAUGCAAAUCACCUGGGGGUGGGGAGGGCUGGGGGUGCACUGUACUUGGUUUGCUCGGGGUGAGCAGUGACUUCUUGCACGAAUCUAACACAAAAUGAAAACUGUCUCCUUGCAGGCCUUCCUUCCUUGUACUGGGGACCGUGAGCACCGUACUCCGUGGUUGGAGAAUAAUUGCACUUGGUGCCACGUUUCCGGGUAUUUGCAAGGGGAUUGAAAAAUGCAAUGAUUUUAAGGUGCAACGAUUUCAAGGUGAAGUUCAAUUUUUGCAUCUACCGUCUCAGCUGCCGAACUAGGUACCAGGGAUACAAAGAGAAGGUUCCCCUGGACUAAGGUGCAGGGCAUCCGAGGCGCCCAGGGCGACUCUAGUGUAAAUAGGGAGUGCCAGGAGAGAAUCCUGCAGAGCUGCGCCAGGUCUUGGGGGCUGGGGAAGGGAGUCUGGGUAGGCUUCAUGGAAGAGGUGACCUGUAAGCUGAGGCCCUGAAAGAGAAGUGAGCCAGCCCUGGGGGAACAGGAUGGGGGAGCCUCCGGGAGCAGGAACUGGGUUAACAAAGACCCAGGGUGGAGGUGGGGGUGCCAUGCUCGUGGCGGCCAUGGCCCUGCCUGUGUUCUUCACGUCUGGCUCCCUUCCAGAAAGGCUGCCUCGGGAGGGUAGCUGGCUGACAGUUUCCAGAUCCCUCACUUUCAGGCUCCACCAUUGCAUAUUUAUUACAUAUUUUUUCUGGGUCUGUUCUCAACCAAUGACAGAGCACAGCAUUUGCACCGGAGCUGAACCGUUUUUCUUUCGGAUGUGGAAUUCCCUAAUGCAUCAUGUUUCCCCGGGAGGACUCCGUGGGCCUCAUCAGGACUUUUCGCAGAGCCCCGCGCUCCGAUCCAGGGCCCCUCCUCUUCCAUUCUUCCUUCAUUCUUCUUCCCCUUCCACAGGCGUCCGAAUGCGCCUGGCCUGCCCCCUCGGCCCCGAAUCCAUCGGAGGCAUUUCCCUGCAUAUAAAUUUCACAUGC
rnacentral:lncRNA from 1 species